rnacentral:rRNA from 1 species
GUCCUCCGGAUAGGGACCUCGAUUGAGAUCGGGUCCGGCACCGCCACGCUAUUCUGGUUCGAUCGCUGGACUGGGGACGCACCCCUGGCGUCCCGGUUUCCGGUCCUGUUCUCCAUCGCAGUGGCCCCCCAGAUCUCCGUGGCAAACGCCCUUCUUGACCUUGGGCCCCUCGCGUUCCGAAGGCCUUUUGGUCCUGCGGAGAAUGCGGACUGGCAGGAAUUGCUUGACUGUGUGGCUCUCCAUGAGCCGGAUCUCACGACUGACGUUGACCGCGCCAGAUGGCGCCUUGAACCGUCCGGUCAAUUCUCCACCAAAUCUCUCUAUCUGGCCAUCGCCCCCUCACCCGGUCAUGAGGCGCUCUCAUCUAUUUGGGAGAUUCACCUCCCAUUGAAGAUUAAGAUAUUCUUGUGGCAGUGGAUUCGUGGCCGCCUACCAUCGGGCGUUGAGGUUCUGAAACGCAAUGGCCCUGGGGAUGGGCGUUGCCCACUCCGUGGGCCUGAAGAGGAUUCGAACCAUAUCUUCUUCACCUGUGUGUCUGCACAGUUCCUUUGGAGCUGUUUCCGCGAGAUUGUGGGUGGAAGCUGGGAUCAUACCAACUUCCCUGCUCUCUUUGCCGAACUGUCACAUCCCUAG